GACAGAGGUGCCAAGCGUUAGGCGGAAUCACUGGGCUUAAAGCGUGUGUAGGCGGAAUUCUAAGUACCUUGUGAAAUCCCACAGCUCAACUGUGGAACUGCUCGGUAUACUGGUUUUCUUGAGCCACUUAGGGGCUGUCGGAACAAGCGGUGGAGCGGUGAAAUGCGUAGAUAUCGAGAGGAACACCUGCGGCGAAGGCGGGUUGCUGGGCUGAUACUGACGCUGAGGCGCGAAAGCCAGGGGAGCGAACGGG
rnacentral:rRNA from 1 species